AGGCUGAAAUUAUCAGGUUCGGGUAGGUUAGGUUAUUAAAUUUCGUUAUCAAAUUAAACACAAAUGUAAAAAAAAAUGACUCAGCCUAACCUCGGAUUUCAUAAUAAUUUUAUCAUUCUAAUAUUAAUUUGUCCCCCUUAGACUGUACUUAGGUUGCACUUACAAUAAAACGUUAGAGUUAGGGGCACAACGCACAACUGCAAUCAUCUAGUAUAUUUCUGCCAUGGUUCAUUAGUUAAAACUUUUGGAUCCGAGUAGUUAACGCAUAAAAAAAGAUGUAGGUGUAACUGUAACUGGUGUAACUUGUGAAAUGAUAAUUUAAAAAAAAAUAAUUGUCUAGUUAUAG